AUGCUUAGACCUGUAUUUUUGCGUCUUCGUUUGACUUAUAUUACAAAAACGAGGGGAGCGCCGCCGCACCUUCUCGUUGUAGGCGACAGCUCGAUGGACCGUGUCGUCAUCUCCGGCAUCCUCCGGAGCUUCAACUUCCGCGUGACCGCCAUGGACAGCGGGAAGAGGGCGCUGGAGCUUCUUGCCUCCGAGGCCAAUGUGAGCAUGAUAUUCACUGACUACUCAAUGCUGGAGAUGACCGGCUACGAGGUCCUCAAGAAGGUCAAGGGGUCAUCCAAGCUGAGGGAGAUCCCCAUGGUGAUCAUGUCCUCGGUGAACGUGCCUACAAGGAUCAACAGGUGCCUGGAGGAAGGAGCCGAGGAUUUCCUGCUCAAUCCCAUCCAACCGUCCGAUGUGUCGCACCUCUGCAGCCGUCUCCUCCAGUGA
rnacentral:rRNA from 1 species